UGCAGGGCAGAAAGCGGUCCUGAUUCUAAGUGGCCCAAAAUUUCUCAUAUUCCUCAUGUGUCUAUGUAGAAGAUUGGUGAAGUUUGGUGUUCCAGUUGUGAUGAAGAAGAGCAUCCACCCUCAACAACUUGAUACUCAUUUAUUGUCCUAUCAAUUCCUAAUUUUAUUUGGAUCUUCGUCAACUUUACUAUUGUAUUAGAUUUGUCACAUAUUCAAGAUGGAAGUAUAGAUGAGGAUUUCAGAUAUUAUUGACAUUGGUCUUUCUGUAAGUAUAUUUCAGCUUUGAAUAUUGACUUAUUUUACAUUUAUUUUGUUUAAUUACAAUUUGAAUUGAUGCUCAUUCAAUCCCCUAUCGAGUCUUAAUUCUAUUUGAAUCUUGUUCAACUUUACUUUCGUAAGAAUUAUAUUAUUAUCAUAACAAAAACAUUAUUAUUAUUUGAACUAUCAUUAAUUAAUAUCUUGGAGCAUACGGAGGAGGUGAAAGUAAGCUAUUUCCUUUGCAACUUGGAGGGGUUGAUUUGUCCAAUCUAGAAAGAGUGUGAAUUAUCUUUAGCCUCUGAGUAUAUUAUAAAUUAAUUACAGGAAAAAUCAACUUCAAUAAUUGUAGCAACACAAACUAAUUUAUUUAUUUUCUCGUGAAAUUCUACAGGUGCAACGUGUGUGUCAAUUUGUCCAAUAUUAGAGAUAAUGUAUAUGACUUGCAUUUCACAUUCAAUGGAAAUUGAGCCAGAUGAAACUUCAACCCAACAAGGAAACUCUUGAAGUUGCAAAUUAUUUAUAUUUCUAGCUUGUGAAAAUAGUUAGUAAAACAAUUAUGCUUUUAUCUCAUAGUACUUAAUUUUUGAAAAUGUUCAUUGAGCCCUUCAUAAUAAAUGUGAUGUAUUUACUAAAGAUCCUCUUAUAGUGCUAAAUGAUUUGUAUAAUAUAAAGACUA